rnacentral:rRNA from 1 species
AACCGCUUUCGGGCGGGGAUUAGUGGCGAACGGGUGAGUAACACGUGGGCAAUCUGCCCUGCACUCUGGGACAAGCCCUGGAAACGGGGUCUAAUACCGGAUACUCACUGCCUUGGGCAUCCAAGGUGGUGGAAAGCUCCGGCGGUGCAGGAUGAGCCCGCGGCCUAUCAGCUAGUUGGUGAGGUAAUGGCUCACCAAGGCGACGACGGGUAGCCGGCCUGAGAGGGCGACCGGCCACACUGGGACUGAGACACGGCCCAGACUCCUACGGGAGGCAGCAGUGGGGAAUAUUGCACAAUGGGCGAAAGCCUGAUGCAGCGACGCCGCGUGAGGGAUGACGGCCUUCGGGUUGUAAACCUCUUUCAGCAGGGAAGAAGCGAGAGUGACGGUACCUGCAGAAGAAGCGCCGGCUAACUACGUGCCAGCAGCCGCGGUAAUACGUAGGGCGCAAGCGUUGUCCGGAAUUAUUGGGCGUAAAGAGCUCGUAGGCGGCUUGUCGCGUCGGUUGUGAAAGCCCGGGGCUUAACCCCGGGUCUGCAGUCGAUACGGG